rnacentral:rRNA from 1 species
UACGUAGGAGGCGAGCGUUGUCCGGAGUUACUGGGCGUAAAGGGUGCGCAGGCGGCCCGACAGGUGUGUGGUGAAAAUCUCCCGGCUUACCUGGGAGGGGGCCACGCAAACCGUUGGGCUUGAGGCUCGGGGAGGGGCGUGGAAUUCCGGGUGGAGCGGUGAAAAUGCGUAGAGAUCCGGAGGAACACCGACGGCGUAAGCAGCGCCCCUAAACGAGUACUGACGCUCAGGCACGAAAAGCUGGGGGGAGCAAAACAGG